rnacentral:rRNA from 1 species
GACGAACGCUGGCGGCGUGCUUAACACAUGCAAGUCACGGGGGCCCGCAAGGGCAACCGGCGAACGGGUGCGUAACACGUGAGCAAGCUUCCGAUUUGUGGGGGAUAGCCGGCCCAACGGCCGGGUAAUACCGCAUACGAUCACCGAGCGGCAUCGCUUGGUGAGGAAACCUCCGGGGCAAAUCGAGGCGCUCGCGGCCUAUCAGCUAGUUGGCGGGGUAACGGCCCACCAAGGCUUUGACGGGAGCUGGUCUGAGAGGAUGGCCAGCCACAUUGGGACUGCGACACGGCCCAGACUCCUACGGGAGGCAGCAGUGGGGAAUAUUGCGCAAUGGACGAAAGUCUGACGCAGCGACGCCGCGUGUGGGAUGAAGCCUUUCGGGUGUAACCACUGUUGCCCGGGACGAAAAGCCCUUUCGAGGGAAUUGACGGUACCGGGUGAGGAAGCACCGGCUAACUCUGUGCCAGCCGCCGC